rnacentral:misc_RNA from 1 species
GAACGCACAUUGCGCCCGCCAGCACUCUGGCGGGCAUGCCUGUCCGAGCGUCAUUUCAACCAUCAGGACCCCCCCGGGGGACCUGGCGUUGGGGAUCAGCGGCCCCCCGUGGUCGCUGCCCCCGAAACCCAGUGGCUGCCCAUCGCGGGUGACCCUGCGCAGUAGCGAUACCUCGCAGCGGCUCCAGCGGUCCGGCCUCGCCGUAAAACCCCCCACACCUCAAGGUUGACCUCGGAUCAGGUAGGAAUACCCGCUGAACUUAAG